CAACGUCAUGUGGAAGGUUAUUCUUCUCUAAAGAUGCCACCGAUCAAAGGAAUAUAAACGUAUGGGAGCAGGCCUCAACAAACUUUCAAAGGAAGAGGAGAAAGAGGAGAAGAAAAAAGGGAAGAGAAAAAUUAAUGUUCCUGAAAAAUUCAAACGUUAGGAAGAGUGAACAUUACAGUGAACAUUUCAAAGAAAACCUCAGUGUAAAAGUAAAAGUAUAUGUUCUGUUUA